ensembl:lncRNA
GGGGGGAUAUAUGAUACAUUGAGGAACAGCGGUGUCAGUCAGUGGUACGGAAACAUUGAUGAUAAUACGGUGUUGUGUCAUAAUCAUGUCCUAAUGAUCAUAUCAUCGUUGUGUGUGUGUAAUGAAUCCAGCAAUAGUAGGGAGAGUGUCGUUUUCCUCUCGUCAUUGUCCCAGGAUGUUGUCACGUCCUUCACAGUCAGAAUGUCCCGCUGCUGUAAAGGAGAAAUCCUUCAAGCUGAUGGUAAGAAGGUGCUCGACAAAACAGCCGGUCUCCACUUGUUUUCGCGAUUGCAGCUGAUUGCAUCUCUUACAGGAGAGACGAUGAAGUGUGAGGAGCGACUGAAACUGAUCCUGUGAUUUACACACUCGUGCGUCUCGAAUGCUGCGAUGGCGCAGGAUGGACAGUCCUGCAGAGCUCCGUGGAUGCGGUGUCGGGACUGAGGUAUAAUCCGAGCCUCUGGUUUAUGAGUAGAACGAUACACGAUAGCUUGAGCAAGGUUCAGUUCCUCACAUGGCUUCUGUGUCGAACUGAGAGGUGUGAAGUGCUUUCCUCCAGCGGCAGACAGAGGGCGCCGGCUCCUUUACAGACAACACACGGGCGGCUGGAGAACAGCUGGCGAGGCAGUAAGACAGAAAGAGGGAAAUGUCUGCCCACACGGGAGAGAGAAGGAAGAUAUGGUUAGGUUAGAGUGUUUAAGUUUAUAUGUGAGUGAAUGAGGGAAAGCAGAAGUGUUGUAAAUGAGGGAGGAGUGUGAGCGGAGAGAGAGAUAAUGAUGUAGGCGAUGGAGUGAGGUGGAGACAUGGAGGAAAGCAGGGAGACAAUCUGGUGUGCCCUUAAACACUCAUCUCUCUUAAAUUACCAUCUCUCUCUCUUUCUCUCUCUCUCUCUCUUUCUGUCUUUCACUUAUCUGUCUGUCUCUUUCAAUCUUUCUCUCUCUGUCUCUCACUAUCUCUCUCUUUCUUCUGUCUCUCUUUUGCUUUCGCCCUCUCUUUGUCUCUUUCUCUGUCUCUAUCUCACACUCUCUUUCUCUCUGUCUGUCUGUCUGUCUCUCUCUCUGUCUUUCACUCAUCUCUCUCACUGUCUGUCUGUCUUUCUCCCUUUCUCUUUCACUUUCUCCCUCUUUUGCUCGCUUUCUCUCUUUGUGUCUCUCACUGGCUCUCUUUCUUUCUGUCUCUCUCUUUUACUGUCACCCUCUCUUUGUGUCUUUCUCUGUCUCUAUCUCACACGCUUUUUCUCUCUGCCUCUGUCUGUCUGUCUCUCUCUCUCUCUCUCUCUCUCUCUCUCUCUUUCUCUCACUUUCCCAAACCCCCCCCCCCCCCCCCCCCCCCCCCCCCAACCUCUCCCCUGCCGCUGUAAUUUAGACCGUAGCGGGAGCUGAAGGCCAGAGCGGUUCAGGCUGCUGGCGCUUGUCCGUGCACAAGGAUUUUUCAUUUUACUUAAUGGCACAUAUCAUAUCAGGAUUUCACACGGCUUCUCCCCCGGGGAGCCAGCCACGCUCGCGGCAAUUAGAGUGACAGCGGCCAGGCGGGUAUCAUCCCAGCGGUGCUCUGAGGACUGCUAACUAGCCCUGAGAGAACUCUGAGAGCCUGAGAGAGAGAGAGAGAGAGAGAGAGAGCGAGAGACAGAGACACUGAGUGAGAUCCAGCACUGGGGGAUUCAAAUUAACUAGGGCGAAAGAGGGACAGGAUUAAAAGCACCUUGUAUCACCUCAUACAGCAGAUUCAGAGCAGUCAUGAAGGGGGAAAGCAGAGCUGCCUCAUAAGGGACACACACCACACACGGGAAUCAGGAUCACUGGGGAAAAAAGAUGGAGAGCCAGGUUUGAGAGAGGCACUGCCGAGAUAGUCACGUUCGAGAGAGUCAGAUUUGAGAGAAAGUGAGGUUUGAAAGUCAGUACCAAGAAAGAGUCAGAUUUGAGUGAGAGUCAGUAGAGAGAGAGAAAGUGCGGUUAGAGAGUCAGUACUGAGAUAGAAUCAUGUUAAAGAAAGAGUCAUUCAUGUUAGAGAGUCAGAUUUGAGAGAAAGUGCGGUUAGAGAGUCAGUACUGAGAUAGAAUCAUGUUAAAGAAAGAGUCAUUCAUGUUAGAGAGUCAGAUUUGAGAGAAAGUGCGGUUAGAGAGUCAGUACUGAGAUAGAAUCAUGUUAAAGAAAGAGUCAUGUUAGAGAGAGAGUCAGAUUUGACAGAAAGUGACGUGUGAGAGUCAGCACUAUGAUAAUCAUGUUAGAGUCAGUAUUGACAGUCAUGUUUGAGAGAGAGUCAGAUUUGACAAAGUGACGUGUGAGAGUCAGCACUAUGAUAGAAUCAUGUUAGAGAAAGAGUCAGUAUUGACAGAGUCAUGUUUGAGAGAGAGUCAGAUUUGACAAAGUGACAUGUGAGAGUCAGCACUAUGAUAGAAUCAUGUUAGAGAAAGAGUCAGUAUUGACAGAGUCAUGUUUGAGAGAGAGUCAGAUUUGACAAAGUGACAUGUGAGAGUCAGCACUAUGAUAGAAUCAUGUUAGAGAAAGAGUCAGUAUUGACAGAGUCAUGUUUGAGAGAGAGUCAGAUUUGAGAGAAAGUGAGGUUUCAGAGUGAGCACUGAGAAAGUGUCAAGUUUGAGUGAGCGUCAGUAGAGAGAGUCAGUUUUGAGACACGGAGUCAGGUUUGAGAGAGUCAGUUUCAAGUGAAGGUACAUUUUGAAAGAGAAAGACAUUAUGUCUUGUAAGUAAAUCAGCCUGAAAGCGCCAUUCCUCAAAAUGAGUUCUUUCGAAUGAUAGUUUUAAUUUUCUCAUAGUGAUGUGUGUUUUAUAUUGUACAGCAUCUAUAAAAAGUAUAUACUAUUCAUACGUAGUUCUCUCUCUCUCUCUCUCUCUCUCUCUCUCUCUCUCUCUCUCUCUCUCUCUCUCUCUCUCCACCAAUAAUAAUGCCUGCUUGGUCAGGGAGAUCAAUAGGUAGUGAUGCCUGACUGAACGUCUCCUCUCUGGACCUGCACGGAGACGCUCUCGCUCUUGGUUCUGGCCCAAAAUGCCAAUCUGGGCCAUACCAAUAUUGAGCAGUGGGGGGGAUCAGUGUUCUCCACAUGCAGUCGUUUAGCAGACUCUGCUGCCACUGGGAAAAAUCGCUCAUCAAUCUGGCAGAGUCUGCUUCCCCUUAAUGUAGCCCACACACACACAGAUACACACACACCACUGCCAGCUUGCUUAAUGACUUUAUAUUUGAUCAAUUAAGAGUCAUUUUGCAGUUUUGCUCUGGCCUGUGGAGAUAUGGCAGUGUAUUUGAGUGGCAGAUGGAAGGUGAAGUGCUGCUGUGGGAUGGACUGUGGGGUUUGGGGCAGCAAAGUGCUCGGCUAAUUGAGGAAAAACACAAAGACAUCCCUCACGAACUCGCUCGUUCUGUCUUUUUUCUCAUCACAGAUACCUUUAUCUCCUCGCACUCUUCUCUCCAUCACUCCACAGCUCUUUUUUUUUUUUUUUUCCUUUCUUCCUCUCUGUUUCCUGCCUGUCAUCCUUGCCAAGUCAGUGUGAGGGAAUUUGAGUAAUAAGGUGAGGUGAGCUUUGGGUGACUGCCAGGUUUGGAGGCGAGGUAGUGCAGACGAGGACAGAGGAGAGUCUACCUGCCCUGAGUGAUCCGUGUCUGAGCCACACACACACACGCACACACACAGAAGCCUCGGGGAGAAAUCCAAGCCAGCAAUCCAAGGAAGUGGAGGACAGAGCAGCAAAAGCCUCUGACAGUCAGGGUGAUGAGAGAGAGAGAGUGAGAGAGUAGGAAAGUGCUUUCCACAGUAAAACAAAAAAAAAAAUCAACACUUGAUGGCUGUGUGUGUGUGUGUGCGCUCUGGAGGAGUGUGGCCUGAUAACUGGAGCAGGUAGUAUACAUUGCACACGCCGGAGGAAAAACCACGAGAGAACGAGAUUGUAGAACUCUCACCCAAUCGUCUUCUUGGUAGAGAAGCUGGAGGGAGGUGAACUCUGCCUUCACAACAGGAAGUGACACGAGAUGGGCGGGAUGUAACAUGAGCGACCCAAAAAAAAGUUGAGAGGAGUUUAAGCAAAUGAGAAGCAAAGUGAUGUAGCGACUACUAAUGAACGACCACAGAUCGCUUGGUGUGUUUUUGCCAGAUAUUCGCUCCUAGUCACAGCUCUUAACGCUCUUGGUCGAAACUCCCACUGGUUGGUUUGACGUACAAUGAAAGCCAAGCGCAAACUUUGCAAACUUUCAGCCAAUUACGACUCUAUUAGCGGUGAAGCGGUUAGCGUUGACUCCUCACAGCUCCAGGGUUCCCGCUUUGAGCUCGGGUUACUCUCCAUGUGGACUUUUGCAUGUUCUCCCAGUGUUCCUCCAUGUUCUACAGUUUCCUCCGACCUCCCAAAAUCACAUCUAGGUGGACUGUCUACGCUAGAUUGCCCAUAAGUGUGAAUGAGUGAACGCACAUGUGGUGCUCUGUUAUAGCUCAGCUUCCAGCCCGGGAUAUGCUCCAAGAUCUCCAGUGACCAGAAUAAAGCAGUGAAUGAAUAACACUACUAAUCAGUGAUGUACUGGACUGAAAUGUCAUUUUUAGCAUCUGAUUCGUGCUAUAAAUGGGUCAACCUCGUUUUUUUUUUUUCCCUCGCUUUGUGUUAAAACCUUGAAUCGGUGAUACUAAUUUUCUGAUCGAUCCUAUUCCAAGUACAGUAAUACUGAGACUAGUAUCCUGAUCCAGAUUCUGGAUCUUGAGUAUAAUAUGUGAAGUAAAUCAUUUGAGAGUGUUCUCUCUUUCCUGUUUAAUUGUGGAGAAAUAAUCCAUAUACUGUAAUAUCACUAAGAAUACACGUUCAGUCUCUUUCUCAUACGAGUGUGUGUGUGUGUGUGUGUGUGUGUGUGUGUGUGUGCAUGAAACUGAUGGUGGACAGGAAGAGAUGUCAGAAGGAGCAGUAGUUCCUGCGCAUCAAUAUUAUUUCACAUUUUGGUCGAUAAAAAGAUAAGCACACACUGUCGAUAAUUCUUAUAUUAGGAUUGAUUUUUUUUUUUUUUUUUAUAAAGAAAUCUCAUGAUCGAUUCUCUGAUAUCGAUCUGUCCCAUCCCUAAUAUGGGCAGAAACCAGUUUGAAAAGACGCUGUAAAAAAAAAAAAAAAAAGAAGAAGAAGGAAAAAAAAAGCCAGCAUUAAUGGAACGGCUUGAGUUUUUAAAAUGUUUUGUUAAAUGCGGGUGUGCAGGGGAAAGAAACGCCGAGAUUGAGUGGCGCUCGUGUCCGUCAUCGAGAAGCUCGGCUCAGCACUCGGAACACAUGCAUCUCAUAUUUCACCUCAGCAAGUUACUGUGUACACACGCAGUGAACGUUCAUGUAGAGUGAAAGCAUUUAAUCAGCUCUCC